rnacentral:rRNA from 1 species
UGCUACUUUGCUGACGAGCGGCGGACGGGUGAGUAAUGCUUGGGAAUAUGCCUUAUGGUGGGGGACAACAGUUGGAAACGACUGCUAAUACCGCAUAACGUCUACGGACCAAAGGGGGGGAUCUUCGGACCUCUCGCCAUUUGAUUAGCCCAAGUGAGAUUAGCUAGUUGGUAAGGUAAUGGCUUACCAAGGCGACGAUCUCUAGCUGGUUUGAGAGGAUGAUCAGCCACACUGGGACUGAGACACGGCCCAGACUCCUACGGGAGGCAGCAGUGGGGAAUAUUGCACAAUGGGCGAAAGCCUGAUGCAGCCAUGCCGCGUGUGUGAAGAAGGCCUUCGGGUUGUAAAGCACUUUCAGUUGUGAGGAAAGGUUUGUAGUUAAUAGCUGCGAGCUGUGACGUUAACAACAGAAGAAGCACCGGCUAACUUCGUGCCAGCAGCCGCGGUAAUACGAGGGGUGCAAGCGUUAAUCGGAAUUACUGGGCGUAAAGCGUUCGUAGGCGGUUUAUUAAGCAAGAUGUGAAAGCCCAGGGCUCAACCUUGGAACUGCAUUUUGAACUGGUAGACUAGAGUACUGUAGAGGGUGGUGGAAUUUCCAGUGUAGCGGUGAAAUGCGUAGAGAUUGGAAGGAACAUCAGUGGCGAAGGCGG